GGAUGCGAUCAUACCAGCACUAAAGCACCGGAUCCCAUCAGAACUCCGAAGUUAAGCUUGCUUGGGCGAGAGUAGUACUAGGAUGGGUGACCUCCUGGGAAGUCCUCGUGUUGCAUCCC
rnacentral:rRNA from 1 species